AGCAACAUAGACAGGGCCAGGUCCACUCAGUGCAGGCUCUGAUUUUGGUGGUUUUCAGUGGCAUGUCAUCUUUAAUAUAAGUAUUUUUUUUUUCUUUUCUCUUUUUCUAGAACCUUUAUGUUCCAGCUGACUUUCUCUAACAGAGCAACCGAUGUGCUUUUUCACCAGAACUAACUGAAGCACGAACUCAUUGGGACUGAAGGAAAACUGUCUCAGAGACAAAAGGACACAUGGGUGGAAGUGUAGCCACGCUGCAUCCCAUGAGCAGUCACUUCAUUUUGGGGAGGACAAUUAUUGCUGAAUGGUGAGAGACCUCAGCCUAAAUCUGCAGAAAAAUGGAUGUCUUUAUCGCACUGGCAGUUUUCUGCCUCUUUGCCAUAGACCGUGCACUUCUGACAGCGGUACUGUGCACAGGCUCAGGAGCUGUGCUGGAGGACUGAGCCCAGCUGGAGCUGGUUUCCCCAUUCCUUCAGGCAAGCAGGGGUAGUUCUUGGUUUGAGUAAUGCUCAACAUCCUCACUGAAAAAAAUCUGGCUGUGUAGGUGCAGUAUGUG
rnacentral:lncRNA from 1 species